UGGAAUUUCAGUCAGAAGGAGCAACCUGACAUGGAAAGGGACAGGUGAUGCAACUGCCAGUGUUAUUUACAGCAACCCAGGACCUUAAGAACAUUGGGUUCCACCACAUACACACAACGGUAGUUUGGAUGAAGUAAGUCCAGUACCCAUGAAUCAGUGCUCCACAGGCUGUGGUCCAAAGAAGUAUCCUAAUGCAAUCAUAUUAUUGGAAAAGUACUGGGACCUCUUAUCAGCUAAGAAGGACAGGAAGGCCACUACCACUUACACAGUUUGGCUUGAUGGAAAAUCCCCGAAGUCCAGGAGGGAAGCAAGAAGAAAAGACGGUGACAGAGAAAGUGCCUUGUUCUCUGUGGAUCAUACCUUAUGGACAUCUUGAAGCAGCAUGUCUCAGUUUUUUGGAAAGUGAAAAGGGGACAUGUGAACAUGACCUACUCUAUGACAUGUAAGGGACCUGGCCUACAAGCACUGCAGGCAAAAUGACUCUUCAGAUGUGCAGCCCUUUCAAUGCUGUUUCAGAGUCUAGCAUUUCUAAACUUUUGCCCGGUUCCCAUGGUUUCAACAAGAUAUCCAUACUGCUUAUGGGGAGAGGAUGGUCUGAGGAAUUGAUCUUAUUGUUUCAAGAGCUACUGUUUAGGCAAGUUCAUGUAUUAGCUUUUUGUUAGCACUUGAAUAUGGGAACAAUCAUUUAGAGAAAUCAUGCAGUCAAAACAUGAAAGAUCUGUGAAAAUCAAACAUACAGUACUUGGGAAACCCAAACACUGUUUAAUUGAGUAAGUGGCCACUAACGACCUGAA